GGGUGCGAUCAUACCAGCACUAAUGCACCGGAUCGUAUCAAAAUGCCGUAGUUAAGCGUGCUUGGGUGACUGUAGUACUAGGAUGGGUGACGUCUUGGGAAGUCCUCGUGUUGCACCCC
rfam:Gossypium raimondii scaffold_454_contig_2, whole genome shotgun sequence.